rnacentral:rRNA from 1 species
GACGAACGCUGGCGGCGUGCUUAACACAUGCAAGUCGAACGGAAAGGCCCUGCUUUUGUGGGGUGCUCGAGUGGCGAACGGGUGAGUAACACGUGAGUAACCUGCCCUUGACUUUGGGAUAACUUCAGGAAACUGGGGCUAAUACCGUAUAGGAGCUCCUGCUGCAUGGUGGGGGUUGGACAGUUUCGGCGGUUGGGGAUGGACUCGCGGCUUAUCAGCUUGUUGGUGGGGUAGUGGCUUACCAAGGCUUUGACGGGUAGCCGGCCUGAGAGGGUGACCGGCCAAAUUGGGACUGAGAGACGGCCCAGACUCCUACGGGAGGCAGCAGUGGGGAAAAUUGCACAAUGGGAGGAAGCCUGAUGCAGAAACGCCGCGUGCGGGAUGACGGCCUUCGGGUUGUAAACCGCUUUCGCCUGUGACGAAGCGUGAGUGACGGUAAUGGGUAAAGAAGCACCGGCUAACUACGUG